AGCAGCAGCCGCGGUAAUACGAAGGGGGCUAGCGUUGCUCGGAAUGACUGGGCGUAAAGAGCGCGUAGGCGGAUUGUUUAGUUAGGCGUGAAAUUCCUGGGCUUAACCUGGGGACUGCGCUUAAUACAGGCAGUCUAGAGUGAGGAAGAGGGUUGUGGAAUUCCCAGUGUAGAGGUGAAAUUCGUAGAUAUUGGGAAGAACACCGGUGGCGAAGGCGGCAACCUGGUCCUUGACUGACGCUGGGGCGCGAAAGCGUGGGGAGCAAACAGGAUUAGAUACCCCCGUAGUCCCUGUCUCUUAUAC
rnacentral:rRNA from 1 species